UCCUAGUACGAGAGGACCGGAGUGGACGCAUCACUGGUGUUCGGGUUGUCAUGCCAAUGGCACUGCCCGGUAGCUAAAUGCGGAAGAGAUAAGUGCUGAAAGCAUCUAAGCACGAAACUUGCCCCGAGAUGAGUUCUCCCUGAGACUUAGAGUCUCCUGAAGGAACGUUGAAGACGACGACGUUGAUAGGCCGGGUGUGUAAGCGCAGCGAUGCGUUGAGCUAACCGGUACUAAUGAACCGUGAGGCUUAACCUU
rnacentral:rRNA from 2 species